AAAGAAAGAAAGAAAGAAAGAAAGAAAGAAAGAGAACCUAGACACUUAAAUAAUCUUUCUAAUCUCAUGGCCUCUGCUAAUGUUGGUAAGCUGUAACUAAUAAAUUAAACUAUGUGUCCAAAUUUAACUUACAUGUCUAAUUUAGAUAUACCUGACAUGUAAUGGUACCCUGAUUCUCAAGUGCCUUUAAAGAUCUGACAUUAUAGCAUUUAACAAAAGAGACAUGCCAGCUCAUGCAACAUUCUGUAGUUCCUCCAAGAAGAUGCAUGGCCUCAGACAAACAUCCUCCUGAAGGCUUCCUUUGGAUGUGGCAAAAUCAGCUACACAGAAAAAUUUGCGUUUCACCUCAUCAGCUCCCUAGACCCUGUCUAGUCUGGACAACACUGGUGGAUUCCAUCUGAUCUUGCCAAGACAGAUACCUAUAGGUAUCUGCACAGGCCUACCCCUUCUGCUAGACUCAUGCCAAGCCAACCUGCAGAGGGCCCUCCAGAUAAUGCCAGCACCUGCAACAUCUCCUGAGAUGUCACCCUUGGUACCACCUCUCUAGGCUCAAACAGGCACCUAUUCAGAAUACUUGGUCUGUCCAGCAGCUGGGACACUCCUCCCUCUGGUUUUCCAUAAUGUCCCAAGGAAGGGCCUAUCAGAUUUUCUUCCUGGCACAAUCAUCUUUGUCAGCACAAUUAAGACAGGUAUUAAUAAUCUAUUUUAUUUCAUAUCAGCUUGCCUUUUCUGCUUCCUCACAAAACCAAUGCUUGAGGUCUCCAGGAUGACUGUUAACUGGAUGUUCCUCCACUCACACCUCCUGUUGUGUGUGAGACCACCAUCUCCCCCUCCUGUGAUCAUCCCAUGCCCACAUGAAGCAGCAGACACAAACUUGUGUCCAUAUACUAAAAAAGUCUGGGAUAUUCUUGUGGAAGGUCCACCCGAAUCCCUGAUAUUCAUAUACCUAAAGAGUCCUGAAUGUUCUGCUGGAAGCUUGAUCCCAAGCCCCCUCACCCAACUCUAAGUCCUGCUGCAUCUCAGAAAUUCUGUGAAAUAAUGACAUCUCUUCAACAGAUGUUCAAGACCACUCCCACCAAGAACUUAAACUGUCCCCCAGAAAACAGAUGCAUGAUUUUCCAUUAUUUCUUUCCUAUCUCCUCUCUGCAGGGCUGGAAAAUCACCCAGGAGCAUUGUAUCCAUUAAACCUGGCUUUUAUAAUUCAGUUUCAUUUCGUCUGAUUUAGAUUUUUUUUUGGUACAGAAGAUGAUCUUGGUGCAUAAACUUUUCACGCCUCUCUUCUCCCAGUUACAAUUGUCCUCCUCUUUCUCCUAAAUAAACAGGCCCCUUUGGGGUUAUCCUUAAUUCUUGUGGUGAUUUGAAGGAAAAUGGCCUCCAAAAGGAGCAGCACUAUUAGAAAGCAUGUGGUCUUGUUAGCUGAAUUGUGUAACUGUGGUGGUGUGUUUUGAGUUGGAAUAUAUGCUCAAGCCAUGCCCAGUGUCUCAAUUCACCUUCUGUUGCCAGUCGAACAAGAUGUAGGAGUCACAGCUCCACCACCAUGUCUGCCUGUACACCUGCAUGUCCCACCAUCAUGAUAAUGGACUAAACCUCUGAAACUGUACACCACCACCUCAAUUAAAUGUUUCUUUCAUAAGA